CCUACGGGGGGCAGCAGUGAGGAAUAUUGGUCAAUGGACGAGAGUCUGAACCAGCCAAGUAGCGUGAAGGAUGACUGCCCUAUGGGUUGUAAACUUCUUUUAUAUGGGAAUAAAACGUUCCACGUGUGGGAUUUUGUAUGUACCAUAUGAAUAAGGAUCGGCUAACUCCGUGCCAGCAGCCGCGGUAAUACGGAGGAUCCGAGCGUUAUCCGGAUUUAUUGGGUUUAAAGGGAGCGUAGGUGGAUUGUUAAGUCAGUUGUGAAAGUUUGCGGCUCAACCGUAAAAUUGCAGUUGAAACUGGCAGUCUUGAGUACAGUAGAGGUGGGCGGAAGUCGUGGUGUAGCGGUGAAAUGCUUAGAUAUCACGAAGAACUCCGAUUGUGAAGGCAGUUCACUGGACUGCAACUGACACUGAGGCUCGAAAGUGUGGGUAUCAAACAGGAUUAGAUACCCGUGUAGUC
rnacentral:rRNA from 1 species